rnacentral:rRNA from 1 species
GCAUAUCAAUAAGCGGAGGAAAAGAAACCAACCGGGAUUGCCUUAGUAACGGCGAGUGAAGCGGCAAAAGCUCAAAUUUGAAAUCUGGCGUCUUCGACGUCCGAGUUGUAAUUUGAAGAAGGCGACUUUGUAGCUGGUCCUUGUCUAUGUUCCUUGGAACAGGACGUCAUAGAGGGUGAGAAUCCCGUGUGGCGAGGAUCCCAGUUAUUUGUAAAGUGCUUUCGACGAGUCGAGUUGUUUGGGAAUGCAGCUCUAAGUGGGUGGUAAAUUCCAUCUAAAGCUAAAUAUUGGCGAGAGACCGAUAGCGAACAAGUACAGUGAUGGAAAGAUGAAAAGAACUUUGAAAAGAGAGUGAAAAAGUACGUGAAAUUGUUGAAAGGGAAGGGCAUUUGAUCAGACAUGGCGUUUGCUUCGGCUUUCGCUGGGCCAGCAUCAGUUUUAGCGGUUGGAUAAAUCCUCGGGAAUGUGGCUCUGCUUCGGUAGAGUGUUAUAGCCCGUGGGAAUACAGCCAGCUGGGACUGAGGAUUGCGACUUUUGUCAAGGAUGCUGGCGUAAUGGUUAAAUGCCGCCCGUCUGAAAACACGGACCAGACCGAUAGCGAACAAG